rnacentral:rRNA from 1 species
GGGUCAGUAGGUUGGUCGUGCCACCGGUACGUACUGGUCUCACUGAUUCCUCCUUCCUGAAGAACCGUAAUGCCAUUAAUUUGGUGUUGCGGGGAAACAGGACUGUUACUUUAAAAAAAUUAGAGUGUUUAGAGCAAGCUAACGCUUGAAUACAUUAGCAUGGAAUAAUGAAAUAGGACGAUCGAUCCUAUUUUGUUGGUUUCUAGGAUUGACGUA